ACUCUGCAUUUGGACGUGUAAGAUAGUAGAGAAGGGUCUCUACAAUUUAAGUAGCAGAGGGAUAAGACAGCGCACCUUUCACUUGAGCUUCAACAUGGGAAAGGGAAACGAAGACCCCUAUCUCCACUGCUCCUCCAUCCAAUGUUCCACUGACCAGCCCCCUUUCCAACAGAUCUCCUUUACAGGAAAGGGCUCAGAUGAGAAGAAACCGUUCAAAGGAAAAGGCAAGACCGCCUCUUCCCAUUCCAGUGAGAAGCACAUACAAAGGCAAGUAGGAUUAGAGCCAAAUCCAAAAAUCCAAAAGAGGAGGAGAAGUCCCAGGAGACCAAGCCCAAAGCCAGAAACAGCACUGCUAGAUUAGGGAACUGUCCAGAAGAGGAACGCAGCUUGAUGUUAAAAAAAAAAAAAAAUCAAAGUCCUCCACUGCUGUGCACUACAGUGAAAUCCAGGAGAUCUGUGAUGCCCACCAUAAGGGACAUUCGAGGGCUUGCACUGGGCACAGCCAGUGGCACAGGUCUGGGGCCCUAGGAUUCCAAUGACCGGCACUUGGAAAAAGCU
rnacentral:misc_RNA from 1 species